UUCUUCCUCCAAAAGGAAGUAGGGCCUGCUCACUGAAUAUUAAAGAGCCGCGGUAUCCUGACUGUGCGAAGGUAGCAUAAUAAUUUGCCUCUUAAUUGGGGGCUGGUAUGAAUGGUCUAACGAGAAAUUAACUUUUUUGGGAGUAGUUUAGUUUAAUUUAACUUUUUAGUGAAAAGGCUAAAAUAUUAUAAAUAGACGAGAAGACCCUAUAGAGUUUUAUAUUUUAUUCAUUUACCUUUUAUUAUUCCUUUAAUUGUAAAUGAAGACAAUAUUUUGUUGGGGCGACAUUUAGAUAAGAGCAACUUUUUAUAUUAUAAACUCCUAUUGGAGAAUCUUUGAUCCUUCCUAUAGAUUAAAAGAAUAAGUUACCUUAGGGAUAACAGCGUAAUCUUCCUCGAGAGCUCGAAUCGACAGGAAGGUUUGCGACCUCGAUGUUGGACUAAAAUUAAACUAAGGUGCAGUAGUCUUAGAAUUAGGUCUGUUCGACCUAUAGACUUUU
rnacentral:rRNA from 1 species